GAUGAACGCUAGCGGCAGGCUUAACACAUGCAAGUCGAGGGGCAACACGGGUAGCAAUACCUGGUGGCGACCGGCGCAAGGGUGCGUAACGCGUGAGCAACAUGCCCUAUACAGGGGGAUAAUCCAGGGAAACUUGGUCUAAUAUCCCAUAGUAUUUAGAGGUGGCAUCACCACUAAAUUAAAGCUUCGGUGGUAUAGGAUUGGCUCGCGUGACAUUAGCUUGAUGGUGGGGUAACGGCUCACCAUGGCGAUGAUGUCUAGGGGUUCUGAGAGGAAGACCCCCCAACUGGGACUGAGACACGGCCCAGACUCCUACGGGAGGCAGCAGUGAGGAAUAUUGGACAAUGGAUGGAAAUCUGAUCCAGCCAUGCCGCGUGCAGGAAGACGGCCCUAUGGGUUGUAAACUGCUUUUAUAUGGGAGCAAUAAGGUUUACGCGUAGACCGAUGAGAGUACCAUAUGAAUAAGCAUCGGCUAACUCCGU
rnacentral:rRNA from 1 species